GAUGAACGCUGGCGGCGUGCCUAAUACAUGCAAGUCGAGCGAACGGACGAGAAGCUUGCUUCUCUGAUGUUAGCGGCGGACGGGUGAGUAACACGUGGAUAACCUACCUAUAAGACUGGGAUAACUUCGGGAAACCGGAGCUAAUACCGGAUAAUAUUUUGAACCGCAUGGUUCAAAAGUGAAAGACGGUCUUGCUGUCACUUAUAGAUGGAUCCGCGCUGCAUUAGCUAGUUGGUAAGGUAACGGCUUACCAAGGCAACGAUGCAUAGCCGACCUGAGAGGGUGAUCGGCCACACUGGAACUGAGACACGGUCCAGACUCCUACGUGAGGCAGCAGUAGGGAAUCUUCCGCAAUGGGCGAAAGCCUGACGGAGCAACGCCGCGUGAGUGAUGAAGGUCUUCGGAUCGUAAAACUCUGUUAUUAGGGAAGAACAUAUGUGUAAGUAACUGUGCACAUCUUGACGGUACCUAAUCAGAAAGCCACGGCUAACUACGUGCCAGCAGCCGCGGUAAUACGUAGGUGGCAAGCGUUAUCCGGAAUUAUUGGGCGUAAAGCGCGCGUAGGCGGUUUUUUAAGUCUGAUGUGAAAGCCCACGGCUCAACCGUGGAGGGUCAUUGGAAACUGGAAAACUUGAGUGCAGAAGAGGAAAGUGGAAUUCCAUGUGUAGCGGUGAAAUGCGCAGAGAUAUGGAGGAACACCAGUGGCGAAGGCGACUUUCUGGUCUGUAACUGACGCUGAUGUGCGAAAGCGUGGGGAUCAAACAGGAUUAGAUACCCUGGUAGUCCACGCCGUAAACGAUGAGUGCUAAGUGUUAGGGGGUUUCCGCCCCUUAGUGCUGCAGCUAACGCAUUAAGCACUCCGCCUGGGGAGUACGACCGCAAGGUUGAAACUCAAAGGAAUUGACGGGGACCCGCACAAGCGGUGGAGCAUGUGGUUUAAUUCGAAGCAACGCGAAGAACCUUACCAAAUCUUGACAUCCUUUGACAACUCUAGAGAUAGAGCCUUCCCCUUCGGGGGACAAAGUGACAGGUGGUGCAUGGUUGUCGUCAGCUCGUGUCGUGAGAUGUUGGGUUAAGUCCCGCAACGAGCGCAACCCUUAAGCUUAGUUGCCAUCAUUAAGUUGGGCACUCUAAGUUGACUGCCGGUGACAAACCGGAGGAAGGUGGGGAUGACGUCAAAUCAUCAUGCCCCUUAUGAUUUGGGCUACACACGUGCUACAAUGGACAAUACAAAGGGCAGCGAAACCGCGAGGUCAAGCAAAUCCCAUAAAGUUGUUCUCAGUUCGGAUUGUAGUCUGCAACUCGACUACAUGAAGCUGGAAUCGCUAGUAAUCGUAGAUCAGCAUGCUACGGUGAAUACGUUCCCGGGUCU
rnacentral:rRNA from 1 species